AGCAAGGCUUGAAAACAUGCGAGAAGAAAAAUAAGAACACAUAUCGAUAAAUAAGAACACAUAUUAAGAUUAAGUGUUGAAAAGAAAAUGAAUUGUGGAGUAUUUCUUAAGUGAUGAUAUUGUAUUACAGAAUAGGAAAUUCACAUAUUUAAUACGAAACCAGCAAAGUAUAUAGGUCAUGUGCAAUGCAAAUUCUGUUUAUGUAUUGUGAUAAUUGAUUUAUCACAUAAUUAUUGAAAUUUCUGACAGACCAGUCAAAAAUCACAUAACCUCAAUUCAACGAUAUGAUAUAAAUAUUAUAG